ensembl:snRNA U6 U6 spliceosomal RNA
GUGCUCGCUUCAGCAGCACAUGUACUAAAACUGGCACAACACAGAGAAGAUUAACAUGGCCCUGCGCAAGGAUGACGCAAAUUCGUGAGGUGUUCCAUGUUUUA